rnacentral:rRNA from 1 species
GAUGAACGCUGGCGGCGUGCCUAACACAUGCAAGUCGAACGGUCCUGGAAGCUGGAAGCUGGCGACUGGAGACUAGCUUGCUAGCGACCAGUAACUGGCAACUGGCAACCAGGAUAGUGGCGAACGGGUGAGUAACACGUAGGUGACCUGCCCCGAAGAGGGGGAUAACCGCUGGAAACGGCGGCUAAUACCCCAUGUAGUCGUGAGGGUUAGAGGCCUCAUGAUUGAAGCUCCGGCGCUUUGGGAGGGGCCUGCGGCUUAUCAGCUAGUUGGUGGGGUAAUGGCUCACCAAGGCAAUGACGGGUAGCUGGUCUGAGAGGACGAUCAGCCACAUGGGCACUGAGACACGGGCCCGACUCCUACGGGAGGCAGCAGUGAGGGAUAUUGCGCAAUGGGCGAAAGCCUGACGCAGCAACGCCGCGUGGGCGAUGAAGGCCUUCGGGUUGUAAGGCCCUUUUCUGGGGGAAGGGGAAGGACGGUACCCCAGGAAUAAGUCCCGGCUAACUACGUGCCAGCAGCCGCGGUAAAACGUAGGGGACAAGUGUUAUCCGGAUUCACUGGGCGUAAAGCGCGUGCAGGUGGUGCUUUAAGUUGGGCGUGAAAUCUCCCGGCUUAACUGGGAGGAGUCGUUCAAUACUGGAGCACUUGAGGGCAGGAGAGGGAGGUGGAAUUCCCGGUGUAGUGGUGAAAUGCGUAGAUAUCGGGAGGAACACCAGUGGCGAAGGCGGCCUCCUGGCCUGCUUCUGACACUAAGACGCGAAAGCUAGGGGAGCAAACGGGAUUAGAUACCCCGGUAGUCCUAGCCGUAAACGAUGGAUACUAGGUGUGGGUGGCAUUGACCCCAUCCGUGCCGAAGCUAACGCGAUAAGUAUCCCGCCUGGGGACUACGGCCGCAAGGUUA